UACGUAGGGUGCGAGCGUUGUCCGGAAUUACUGGGCGUAAAGAGCUCGUAGGUGGUUUGUCGCGUUGUUCGUGAAAACUCACAGCUCAACUGUGGGCGUGCGGGCGAUACGGGCAGACUGGAGUACUGCAGGGGAGACUGGAAUUCCUGGUGUAGCGGUGGAAUGCGCAGAUAUCAGGAGGAACACCGGUAGCGAAGGCGGGUCUCUGGGCCGAUACUGACGCUGAGGAGCGAAAAGCGUGGGGAGCGAACAGG
rnacentral:rRNA from 1 species